rnacentral:lncRNA from 1 species
UAGUCAAAUUUGAUUGGAAAUGCUCAAUCGGGGUCAAACGCCUACGAAAAGAUCGCUUGGAUUUAAGAAAAGGUCACUUGGAUUUAUUCAUGGUUUUUUGUGUUUUUUUUGUUUAAUUUAGUUUAUUUCUUGUCCCAAAAUCCUAUUUUUCUUUCUUAAUUGUAAUUCAUUUUAACCCUAAAUAGAAUUUUUUUUUCUAUUUAAAUGAAACCGUAAGCUCCUAAGCAGUGGAAAGAGCCAGGUCUCUGACCGUAUACUUGUUGAAGAAUGAGCCAGCGACUCAUAGGCAGUGGCUUGGUUAAGGGAACCCACCGGAGCCUUAGCGAAAGUGAGUCUUCAUAGGGCAAUUGUCACUACUUAUGGACCCGAUCUAAAUC